GCAUUCCUGCUUUUCUGUCCUCACAGCUGCAACUGUCUGCUGGGGUAUCCCCAUGCUUUAAACUUAAGGGAAGAACAGCAAUGUUCCACAUCUGACACACCAUGAACUACCAGCUCCAGCAAUUCACAGACUCAACAUUAGCUCUCUCUACAUUACUUUUGCUAACAUCCUACCUUUGUGAUACUGGAUUGGCAGUGGUUGCUGUGAAGAGAAAAGAUCACCACCUGAAAUCAGCGUGGAUGAGGAGUGUGAGUAAGCAGCAAUAUGGACACAAAGAGACAUCAGAGAUGGACACACACAGGAAAGACUGUUAGAGAUGGCAAGAAAGCAUUGGUCACAAUCUACAGAGGCAGCCUCAAGAGAAACCAGCCCUGCUGACAUCUUAAUCUCAAAAUUCAGCCUCCAGAAAGGGUCUCACUCUGUUCAGUGGCACGACCUCAGCUCACUGCAG